AACAUUUCCAGGUGGGGAUGCCACUCAGUUGUGCAUCCUACCCAACAGGAUUCCACAUCAUGUGGUGCAUUUGUUUGCAAAAUGACCUUUCACAGCUCUGUCGUUCGUGUGGAGAGCAUCAUAGGCACAAAGGCCAAACUGUCCAAUGGAUUGAAUAUACAGAAUGUGGAAGGUGGUACCAUUGGGACUG